rnacentral:tRNA from 1 species
CAUUUCAUUAGUAAAAAGUUUAUUAUAUUAUCUUGAUGAGGUAAAGUUAAAUGAAAUAAA